GUCACCACCACAAGAACUGCUCAAUAGUAUUUGAGCAGCACCACAACAGUACUAGCAGUUCCCUAGUACACAAACACACCCAGCCGCAUAAUAUGUACCUCAUACCAGCAAGAACAUCUCAUGAUCCACAAGAACAACACACUGGUUAAACCACUGAAAUCAUCAGAUAGAUCCUAGGAAGAAGUAGAAGCAGCAAGGAGGUGCAGGCAUGCCACAAGAAGCAGGCUAUUCCAGAAACCAGAAGACCAAGCUUCUCUACAGCAGCAGAUUGGGAAGCAACCGAAGAAGAAUCUUCUGUAGAACUCGAAGAUGGAGGAGUCAACUACUACGGGGAAAUGGACUCAUUCAACGGAGUCGAAGGAGUCAAUUUCUACAUCAACCAGGAGGAAAACAUAGACGAGGAGUAGAAGGGAAGCAAUUCCCUAACCCUAUAACCUAAAUAGAUAGGGUUCAGCUAUAGCAGCAUUAGCAAGCCAACUAGUAAUAAAAGUAGAUCUAGUUGUAGUCUAGCCUACGAGUUAUUUUUCUGGAGUUUUAUUUGCAGUUUUACCUUAUUGUAUUACGAGGCUGUGAAGAUCUUUUGUAACAAGUUAGAGUUGUAACUCUAUAGACAUGCCUUGGACUCGCAUAUGUUUCUGUUGUACCACUCUGAGGGAUGUAAUACUAGUGGAACGGUAUUUCA